CCCUUAGAUGUUCUGGGCCGCACGCGCGCUACACUGACGAAGUCAGCGAGCAUGUCCUACGCCGACAGGUGCGGGGAAUCUUGUCAAACUUCGUCGUGAUGGGGAUUGAUUAUUGAAAUUCUUGAUCAUCAACGAGGAAUUCCUAGUAAGCGCAAGUCAGCAGCUUGCGUUGAUUACGUCCCUGCCCUUUGUACACACCGCCCGUCGCUACUACCGAUUGAAUGGUUUAGUGAGAUCUUCGGAUUGGCGCCACUGCGGCUCAGCAAUGGGCUCGGUGGAUGCCGAAAAGUUGAUCAAACUUGAUCAUUUAGAGGAAGUAAAAGUCGUAACG
rnacentral:rRNA from 1 species